UUCUGGACUCUUAUUCUCCGUCUAAGAUGGAGUUGGAAGCGCCUCACCCGAGAGUCUCUUCACUCGAAAAAGCCCAUUUCCCGAUUUUGACACAUCUGCUCUGGAGUUCGUCUAUUCUUUUACUCCGGCGACCCAUAAAUGCCGCCACCUUGCCCGCCUUCCACGAAUUAUUCCUUUUUCGUCUCGUUGCCGCCCAUUCUCGUGUUCAGAGUGAUUGAUUGUGGUUGCUGAUUUGGGUUCUUUGGAACUCUCACCAGUGGAUGGCCGAACGUUGACUGAUUUUAUGCAUACAAGAGGCCUUAGGAUGCGUUCUCUUGGACAAGUUCAUCCAACUCCUGAUCCUUACGUUUGCCUGGAAUACGCCAGCACUAAAUUCCGUACCCGUACCCACA